UACGGGGGGGGCAAGCGUUGUUCGGAAUUACUGGGCGUAAAGGGCUCGUAGGCGGCCAACUAAGUCAGACGUGAAAUCCCUCAGCUUAACUGGGGAACUGCGUCUGAUACUGGAUGGCUAGAGUGUGGGAGAGGGAUGCGGAAUUCCAGGUGUAGCGGUGAAAUGCGUAGAUAUCUGGAGGAACACCAGUAGCGAAGGCGGCACUCUGGGCCGGUACUGACGCUGAGGAGCGAAAGCGUGGGGAGCAAACAGG
rnacentral:rRNA from 1 species